rnacentral:lncRNA from 1 species
GUUUGAGAUUGUAUUUUUAUAAAAAUCCAAGAAUUUUGUUUAAGAUUUUACUGUUAUAAAAAAUUUUAAAGAUUUUGAUUUUGUUCGAGAAAAGAUCUUCAAGAAAGAAGCUUGAAACUUUUAUAUCCAGAGAAUGAACUGUUGCAGAAAGAUGCCAAAAACCUACACUUCAUCAAGAAGAUCAAGAAUGAACUUUGGAUGUGAUUGAUUGGACUGAACUUUUGAUUGAACAUUUAUUGUAACAUUUAUGCCAAAAGGGACUGCCCCUAAUUUGGCUUUCUGUCAAUGCGCCUAGCAAACAUUGGUUUUGCUUUCUUUUCUUUUCUAUUUCCUCUCUCACUAUUCUAAUCUCUCCUAGAAAAUUGAAUAUUGUGUAUAUCUUUAGUUAGAAGUGAAUUUAGAACUACAAAAUGAUUAUGUUAAAUGAUCAAUGGGGAGACUAGUCUCCCAAUGAUCAUCAGGGGGGAUUGUAAACCUCAAAAUUCCUUAGACUUAUAAAUGUUGGAAAUUUCACCAUUGGGAUAUUUCAUACUUGGAAAAUUUCUUACUGAUAGUCUAUUGGAAUGGGAACUCCAUUGGCAUGGGAGGUUCCUUCUCUUCCCUUCUUAAGAUUACUUUAGGACAGAAACCCUUUGCUGAACAAUGGAAAGGACUUUGACCUAUGCUUGAGCAUAGAACAGGAAUUUCUUUGAGUCUUGAUUGAUUUUAGAAUUGAUACAAUGGAGAUACUCCACCCUAUUCAGUCCUAAUAAGAUUGAGUAAGGGCUGCAGCCUAGAUCAAAAUUUAAUUAUUCCAAUCUCUACCAUACUCAAGUUAACAGGAUUUAGAAAGGGCUGGAACAAAGGAGUAAAGAUUUAAUCAUUUGAAAAUAUGACCUUCAACAGACAUGUGCAAAAGCCAGAAACCUCUGGGCGGUCCUGGGUUAAGCGAGAGCCUCCAUUGACACUUCCUCCCUCUCACUCUCCUAUUCUUUCUUUUCUUUUCUUUUUUCUUUUCUUUUCUUUUCUCUUCUCUUCUUUUCUUUUCUUUCUUUCUUUCUUUCUUUCUUUCUUUCUUUCUUUCUUUCUUUCUUUCUUUCUUUCUUUCUUUCUUUCUUUCUUUCUUUCUUUCUCUCUCUCUUUCUUUCUUUCUCUCUCUCUUUCUUUCUCUCUCUCUCUCUCUCUCUCUCUCUUUCUUUCUUUCUUUCUUUCUUUCUUUCUUUCUUUCUUUCUUUCUUUCUUUCUUUCUUUCUUUCUUUCUUUCUUUCUUUCUUUCUUUCUUUCUUUCUUUCUUUCUUUCUUUCUUUCUUUCUUUCUUUCUUUCUUUCUUUCUUUCUUUCUUUCUUCUUCCUCAGAAUCAAUCCUGAGUAUCAGUUCCAAAGCAGAAGAACAUAAG